AGGAGUCAAGGAGGAUUCUGGGAAAUGUAGUAAAAGGAAGUCUUGUGAUACAGAUAGGAAGUGACAUAGCAGGCAGACUCAUAUAUAAGCAAGGGCAAGAAGGAAGUCAUUCCUUUUACUCUUCUUCCUGCUCUCUGCUCUGGAGCUGCCAUGUGGUCCUGGCAAGAGAAGACGCCUGCAGCUGGCAUCAGAUAAGAUAAUUCUUUAUGACUGCGCUAGCAAAAAAAGAGAACGCUCCAAGCUUGGGGCAGUCUUUACCCCCUGGUGUGGUUGAAGAUUAGGUUUGAGGCUGUGUUUCUGAACUACAAACAGAGUGGUGGGGCAGAAGAAGGAAGGACUCCACCCCCACUCCCAGCCCCAGAGGCUGGUCUCUGAGGGCCACCGAUCCCAUGAGCCUGCAUGGAGUCCUUGGAGUUCGUCUGAAGCUGCAGAUGAAAAGCAGGUCCUCAGGCCUGGGAAGACAGCCUUCCUCUUUGUUUUGAGCUGAAGUCACUUGGAUGUCUAAGGAGUUAUUUCCAUUCCAGCCCCCACCCCACCCCACCCAGCUUACUUGCAGUACUGUGGAUAAACCUGGGACCUGAGCUUGCUAAGCCGGCAAUCCACCGCUGAGCCACGUUCCUAGCUCCCAAUGCCUUACUUUGAAUGUCUUUCUGCAGCCAACAGCCUUCUCAUCCCCCAUUACCAGCUAAAAAGCCUGCCUCCCUCACUCCACUCCGCCUGCCCCUACUCUAUUCCAGUGCUGUGGCCUCUACGUGAACAGACCUCGCGUUCCCCUUUAUGGCAUUUUGUGUAGCUUGUUUUAUUGUUAGGAAACAGAAUCAGUAGAGAGCACCCAUCUGGCCAGGGCAGUGUGGAUAGAGCCUGUUUCCCACAGGAAAAGAGGGCAGAGGGUAGACUGCUUGGAGUGUGUGCCAGGCUCUCAACCACAAUGCUUCAAAAAGAAGGGGCAAGAAACAAGAGCAUGGGCUACAAAAAAAUGGGAUCCUCUAGGGGUGCUGUGGGCACGUGAUAUCAGGCCACUAUCGUCAGAUGUGAGCGCCAGACCUCUGAGAGGUCACAAGAGGCUGAAAAACUAUGUUUCUUAGAAAGGGUCUCACUGUGUAGCCCUCACACUCGCUAUGCAGACCAGGCUGGCCUCAAGCUCACGGAAUCUACCUGCCUUUGCCUUCCUAGUGCUGGACUUAAAGGCUUGCGCCCCCAUGCCUGGCUGGAAAAAAAAAUAAACC
rnacentral:lncRNA from 1 species